CUCGAACGUUCAAGGGUCUCUGUGACCAAUUUGCUGCCAUAGACCGUCCUAUUGACGACAUGGAUAAAGUUCAUUGAUUUUUGCCAGAUCUUGGUCUCGACUACAAAAUCUUCCCUACCACUAUGCUCUCACAGUUUUCGUUACCUUCUUUUACAGAAUUAGUGUCGAAAGCCUUGAGCUAUGAGAUCUUUGAAAGGUCGAUUUCUCACCAAUCCUCGAACUCUACCUUUUAUGUGCAGAACUCUUCCAAAUCGAAUGCCCAUAGGAAGAGCAAGCCUAAGUCUUCCCCUUCUACUACUUCGAAGUCUUCUUCAUCUCCAAUUUUUGUCAACUAUGCCAUAUGUAAGGACAUUUGGCCAAACAUUGCUAGACCUUUUUGAAUUUGAAAAAGAAGCAAUCAACCAAUCUUGCUAAAGCUUUUGCUGCCUGUUCAAUUUAGGACUCCAAUGACUCUGAAUAGUUUGCUGAUUACGACGCCACUCGUGCCUACUGCUUACUCUGGUAAUGGCCGGGUUAUGAUUGGCAAUGGUCAGUCGUUAUUGAUCACACAUAUUGGUUCUAUUAAAUCGUUUAUCCCUAAUAGUCAUCUUAUUUUGUCCAAUGUCUUGGUCGUUCCUGGUAUUAAGAAAAAUCUUCUUUCUAUGAGUUAACUCACCAAAGAUAAUAAUUGUUGUGUUAACUUUUCCUCUUCUGGUUUUACCAUACAGGAUCGGGUCACCAAGGUAACAUUGGGAGUUGGAAGAUGUGAACAUGGCCUAUAUGUGUUGGAUCAAGCUCUUCAUGCUUUCUUAUCAGUCGUUGCUUCUAGUAAACCACGAGCUUCGAUUCAGCUAUGGCAUGCUCGUCUUGGUCACCC
rnacentral:lncRNA from 1 species